UACGGGAGGGGCGAGUGUUACUCGUAAUGAUUGGGCGUAAAGGGUGCGUAGGUGGUUAGGUUUGUUGAGGAUUAAAGCACCCUAAAAUUAGGGUUUUAAUUGGAAUCAAUAUCACUUAACUAGAGUUUAAGAGAAGAUAACAGAACUGCUAAUGGAGUGAUAAAAUGCGUUGAGAUUAGCAGGAAUACCAGCGGCAAAGGCGGUUAUCUAUCUUAUGACUGACGAUGAGGCACGAAGGCAUGGGUAUCGAUCAGG
rnacentral:rRNA from 1 species